CCAGAAUACGAGGGGCAGCGUGCCUCCGUU
rnacentral:sRNA from 1 species